rnacentral:rRNA from 1 species
UUGUAGAGUGAUUUGUCUGGUUAGUCCUGAAAAAGAGCAAGAUAUCUGCCUCCCAAUAUGAUGCCGUGUCGCUUAUGUAGGGCAACCACUACAGGCUAAAUAGUGUAGUGUGCCUUUGGGUGUGCUGUGUUGCUGCAGAAUGGUGAACCGAGACUGCGGUACUUUACCUUCUCAGAGGCGCCAUGCACGCAUCCCAAGUGCAUGUA